rnacentral:rRNA from 1 species
CCCCAGCGCCCCGAGUGGCAAUCGCGAUUAUUGGGCCUAAAGCGUCCGUAGCCGGACGGGUAAAUCCCCUGUGAAAUCGUCGCGCUUAACGUGACGGCGCGCAGGGGCAACUGCUCGUCUCGAGACCGGGAAGGGUCAGAGGUAUGCCGUGGGGACUGGUAAAAUGGAAUAAUCCACGGUAGACCACCAAUGGCGAAGGCAUCUGACCGGAACGGAUCUGACGGUGAGGGACGAAAGCUGGGGGA